rnacentral:rRNA from 1 species
AGCGAACGUUUGCGGCGGGCUUAACACAUGCAAGUCGAACGGGCUGUUCCUUCGGGGGCAGUCAGUGGCGCACGGGUGCGUAACACGUAGGUAAUCAACCCUCUGGUUGGGGAUAACACUCGAAAGGAGUGCUAAUACCCGGUAUGGCGCAGCGGUCUUCGGAUCGCGGCGAGAAAGACCCGCAAGGGUUGCCAGAGGACGAGCCUGCGGCCCAUCAGCUAGUUGGCGAGGUAACGGCUCACCAAGGCGAAGACGGGUAGCUGGUCUGAGAGGAUGAUCAGCCACACUGGAACUGAGACACGGUCCAGACUCCUACGGGAGGCAGCAGUGGGGAAUAUUGCGCAAUGGGCGAAAGCCUGAAGCAGCAACGCCGCGUGUGCGAUGAAGG